CGGCCGCGAUUCGCCCUUAGUUUGAUCCUGGCUCAGGAUGAACGCUAGCUACAGGCUUAACACAUGCAAGUCGAGGGGCAGCGGGAUUGAAGCUUGCUUCAAUUGCCGGCGACCGGCGCACGGGUGAGUAACGCGUAUCCAACCUUCCGUACACUCAGGGAUAGCCUUUCGAAAGAAAGAUUAAUACCUGAUGGUAUGAUGAGAUUGCAUGAUAGCAUCAUUAAAGAUUUAUCGGUGUACGAUGGGGAUGCGUUCCAUUAGGUAGUAGGCGGGGUAACGGCCCACCUAGCCAACGAUGGAUAGGGGUUCUGAGAGGAAGGUCCCCCACAUUGGAACUGAGACACGGUCCAAACUCCUACGGGAGGCAGCAGUGAGGAAUAUUGGUCAAUGGACGAGAGUCUGAACCAGCCAAGUAGCGUGAAGGAUGAAGGUCCUACGGAUUGUAAACUUCUUUUAUACGGGAAUAAAGUAUCCUACGUGUAGGAUUUUGUAUGUACCGUAUGAAUAAGCAUCGGCUAACUCCGUGCCAGCAGCCGCGGUAAUACGGAGGAUGCGAGCGUUAUCCGGAUUUAUUGGGUUUAAAGGGAGCGCAGACGGGUCGUUAAGUCAGCUGUGAAAGUUUGCGGCUCAACCGUAAAAUUGCAGUUGAUACUGGUUUCCUUGAGUGCAGUUGAGGCAGGCGGAAUUCGUGGUGUAGCGGUGAAAUGCUUAGAUAUCACGAAGAACCCCGAUUGCGAAGGCAGCUUGCUAAACUGUAACUGACGUUCAUGCUCGAAAGUGUGGGUAUCAAACAGGAUUAGAUACCCUGGUAGUCCACACGGUAAACGAUGGAUACUCGCUGUUGGCGAUAUACUGUCAGCGGCCAAGCGAAAGCAUUAAGUAUCCCACCUGGGGAGUACGCCGGCAACGGUGAAACUCAAAGGAAUUGACGG
rnacentral:rRNA from 1 species